CCUCAACUGUCGGCUGUCGAAAAUGAUAUCUUGCUAGCCCCAUUUACGGAGAAGGAAGUGUUUGAUGCGAUUGCACAAAUGGAAAACAACAAGGCUCCCGGUCCGGAUGGGUUUCCGGCGGAGUUUUAUAAAAGGUGUUGGCAGAUUAUUAAGGGGGAUCUGUUACCUAUGUUUCAUGAUCUUUUCUCUGGACAGCUUCAAUUAUUUCAGUUGAAUUUUGGAACUAUCACAUUGCUUCCUAAGAAAACGGAGGCUGUGCGAAUUGAGCAAUUCAGGCCAAUUUGCCUUCUCAAUGUUAGUUUCAAAAUCUUCACCAAGGUCGGGACAAACAGGCUCUCACAGAUUGCGCUUUCUGUGGUACAGCAAUCCCAAACUGCUUUCAUGCCGGACAGAAACAUCCUCGAAGGAGUAGUUGUCCUUCAUGAAACGCUCCAUGAAAUUCACUCUAAAAAAUUAGAUGGGGUAAUUUUUAAGGUGGAUUUUGAGAAGGCGUAUGAUAAGGUCAAGUGGCCGUUCCUUCAACAGGCAUUGCGUAUGAAAGGUUUUGAUGAGGCUUGGCGCCAUCAGGUUGAAUCUUUUACACAAAAAGGGAGUGUGGGUAUUAAAGUCAAUGACGAUAUCGGUCAUUACUUCCAGACUCAUAAGGGCCUCAGGCAAGGCGACCCAAUGUCCCCCGUUUUGUUUAACAUCGUGGUGGAUAUGUUAGCAAUAUUGAUCGGAAGGGCUAAAGAUCAUGGUCAAGUGGGUGGUUUAGUACCUCAUCUGGUGGAUGGAGGUGUAUCCAUUCUUCAAUACGCUGAUGAUACAAUCAUCUUCAUGGAGCAUGAUUUGGCCAAGGCGAGAAAUAUGAAGUUGUUGUUAUGCCUCUUUGAACAAUUAUCGGGGUUAAAGAUUAAUUUUCAUAAGAGCGAAUUGUUCUGCUUUGGUAGGGCUCAAGACGAACAGGACUCUUAUAGGCAACUGUUUGGGUGCGAGUUGGGAAGUCUGCCCUUUUCCUACCUUGGCAUUCCGAUUCAUCAUCGUAGGCUAACAAACAGAGAGUGGAAGUGUAUCGAGGAUCGAUUUGAAAAGAAACUGAGCUGCUGGAAGGGUAAGCUCAUGUCAUAUGGAGGCCGGUUAGUUUUGAUAAACUCGGUACUCACGAGUAUGCCUAUGUUCCUCUUAUCGUUCUUUGAGGUUCCAGUGGGAGUGAGGAAAAGACUGGACUUCUAUCGAUCACGCUUCUUUUGGCAGGGUGAUGAGCUUAAAAGAAAAUACCGGCUUGCUAAGUGGGAUAUCAUCUGUCGACCCAAAGACCAAGGCGGGCUUGGCAUUGAGAAUCUUGAGGUUAAGAACAGAUGCCUUCUUAGUAAGUGGUUGUGGAAGCUCGCUAGCGGUUCGGAAGCUAUGUGGGCGCAAAUCAUUCGCAGCAAGUAUCUCCAGACUAGGACUUUGUCCCAAGUAACAGUUAGGCCGAUGGAUUCGCCUUUCUGGAAAGGGCUCAUGAAAGUCAAGCAAUUAAUGUUCAAUAGGACAAAAGUUGUCAUUGACAAUGGGGCCACUACACGUUUCUGGGAGGACGCUUGGCUGGGCGACUCACCCCUGACCAUUCAGUAUCCGUCUUUAUAUCGUAUUGCUCAACGACCUGAGGUGCUCGUGGCAACGGUAUUUCAAUCUAUCCCCCUUAAUAUUCAGUUUAGACGGUCAUUAGCGGGCAAUCGUUGGGAGGUUUGGCUCCAGUUAGUUAGGAGACUAAUGGAGGUUCAACUUUCUAACCAACCGGAUAAAUUACGCUGGAAGUUGACUACGUCUGGGGUAUUUACAGUCAGGUCAAUGUAUACUGAUGUUAUUAAUACAAGCUCCAUUCCAACUUCCAAGAGUGUCUGGGAUGUCAAAGUACCUUUGAAAAUAAAAGUGUUUAUGUGGUUUGUUCAUAAACAAGUUAUUCUAACAAAGGACAACUUAAUAAAGCGUAAUUGGACAGGACCUACUAGGUGUAGUUUCUGUGAUCGAGAUGAGACAAUUAAACAUCUCUUUUUUGAUUGCCCGCUGGCCAAGGUUCUUUGGCAGACGGUCCACAUUGCUUUUAAUAUAACUCCACCGAAUAUUGUUAAUGCUUUAUUUGGGAAUUGGCUAUAUGGGUUUGACUCUACAAUAGCAAGACAUAUUCGGGUUGGAGUCUGCGCUUUAAUAUGGACCAUCUGGCUGUGCAGAAAUGAUUUGGUUUUUAACAGAUCAUCACGAAUUCAUUUUUUGCAGGUUAUCUUCCGAGCUACGGCGCUGAUCCGUUCAUGGUCAUUACUCACUCCGAUGGAG
rnacentral:rRNA from 1 species